GGAGGGUAUAGCUCAGCAGUAGAGCGUGUGCUUCACAUGCACAAGGUCCUGGGUUCAAUCCCCAGUCCCUCCA